rnacentral:rRNA from 1 species
CCUACGGGUGGCUGCAGUGAGGAAUAUUGGUCAAUGGGCGCGAGCCUGAACCAGCCAAGUAGCGUGAAGGAUGACUGCCCUACGGGUUGUAAACUUCUUUUAAGAGGGAAGAGCAGAAGACGGGACCGCUUGAAUAAGCCAAGGCUAACUAAGUGCCAGCAGCAGCUGUAAUACGUAGGUGGCAAGCGUUGUCCGGAUUUAAUGGGUGUAAAGGGCGUGCAGCCGGGAAGACAAGUCAGAUGUGAAAUCCCGCGGCUCAACCGCGGAACUGGAUUUGAAACUGUAUUUCUUGAGUACCGGAGAGGUCAUCGGAAUUCCUUGUGUAGCGGUGAAAUGCGUAGAUAUAAGGAAGAACACCAGUUGCGAAGGCGGAUGACUGAACGGCAACUGACGGUGAUGCGCGAAAGCGUGGGGAGCAAACAGGAUUAGAUACCCCUGUAGUC